rnacentral:rRNA from 1 species
UACGUAGGGGGCGAGCGUUGUCCGGAAUUACUGGGCGUAAAGAGCUCGUAGGUGGUUUGUCGCGUCGUUCGUGAAAACUCACAGCUCAACUGUGGGCGUGCGGGCGAUACGGGCAGACUGGAGUACUGCAGGGGAGACUGGAAUUCCUGGUGUAGCGGUGGAAUGCGCAGAUAUCAGGAGGAACACCGGUGGCGAAGGCGGGUCUCUGGGCAGUAACUGACGCUGAGGAGCGAAAGCGUGGGGAGCGAACAGG